UUAAGCGACUAAGCGUACACGGUGGAUGCCCUGGCAGUCAGAGGCGAUGAAGGACGUGCUAAUCUGCGAUAAGCGUCGGUAAGGUGAUAUGAACCGUUAUAACCGGCGAUUUCCGAAUGGGGAAACCCAGUGUGNCACACUAUCAUUAACUGAAUCCAUAGGUUAAUGAGGCGAACCGGGGGAACUGAAACAUCUAAGUACCCCGAGGAAAAGAAAUCAACCGAGAUUCCCCCAGUAGCGGCGAGCGAACGGGGAGCAGCCCAGAGCCUGAAUCAGUGUGUGUGUUAGUGGAAGCGUCUGGAAAGGCGCGCGAUACAGGGUGACAGCCCCGUACACAAAAAUACACAUAUUGUGAGCUCGAUGAGUAGGGCGGGACACGUGGUAUCCUGUCUGAAUAUGGGGGGACCAUCCUCCAAGGCUAAAUACUCCUGACUGACCGAUAGUGAACCAGUACCGUGAGGGAAAGGCGAAAAGAACCCCGGCGAGGGGAGUGAAAAAGAACCUGAAACCGUGUACGUACAAGCAGUGGGAGCACGCUUAGGCGUGUGACUGCGUACCUUUUGUAUAAUGGGUCAGCGACUUAUAUUCUGUAGCAAGGUUAACCGAAUAGGGGAGCCGAAGGGAAACCGAGUCUUAACUGGGCGUUAAGUUGCAGGGUAUAGACCCGAAACCCGGUGAUCUAGCCAUGGGCAGGUUGAAGGUUGGGUAACACUAACUGGAGGACCGAACCGACUAAUGUUGAAAAAUUAGCGGAUGACUUGUGGCUGGGGGUGAAAGGCCAAUCAAACCGGGAGAUAGCUGGUUCUCCCCGAAAGCUAUUUAGGUAGCGCCUCGUGAAUUCAUCUCCGGGGGUAGAGCACUGUUUCGGCAAGGGGGUCAUCCCGACUUACCAACCCGAUGCAAACUGCGAAUACCGGAGAAUGUUAUCACGGGAGACACACGGCGGGUGCUAACGUCCGUCGUGAAGAGGGAAACAACCCAGACCGCCAGCUAAGGUCCCAAAGUCAUGGUUAAGUGGGAAACGAUGUGGGAAGGCCCAGACAGCCAGGAUGUUGGCUUAGAAGCAGCCAUCAUUUAAAGAAAGCGUAAUAGCUCACUGGUCGAGUCGGCCUGCGCGGAAGAUGUAACGGGGCUAAACCAUGCACCGAAGCUGCGGCAGCGACGCUUAUGCGUUGUUGGGUAGGGGAGCGUUCUGUAAGCCUGCGAAGGUGUGCUGUGAGGCAUGCUGGAGGUAUCAGAAGUGCGAAUGCUGACAUAAGUAACGAUAAAGCGGGUGAAAAGCCCGCUCGCCGGAAGACCAAGGGUUCCUGUCCAACGUUAAUCGGGGCAGGGUGAGUCGACCCCUAAGGCGAGGCCGAAAGGCGUAGUCGAUGGGAAACAGGUUAAUAUUCCUGUACUUGGUGUUACUGCGAAGGGGGGACGGAGAAGGCUAUGUUGGCCGGGCGACGGUUGUCCCGGUUUAAGCGUGUAGGCUGGUUUUCCAGGCAAAUCCGGAAAAUCAAGGCUGAGGCGUGAUGACGAGGCACUACGGUGCUGAAGCAACAAAUGCCCUGCUUCCAGGAAAAGCCUCUAAGCAUCAGGUAACAUCAAAUCGUACCCCAAACCGACACAGGUGGUCAGGUAGAGAAUACCAAGGCGCUUGAGAGAACUCGGGUGAAGGAACUAGGCAAAAUGGUGCCGUAACUUCGGGAGAAGGCACGCUGAUAUGUAGGUGAAGUCCCUUGCGGAUGGAGCUGAAAUCAGUCGAAGAUACCAGCUGGCUGCAACUGUUUAUUAAAAACACAGCACUGUGCAAACACGAAAGUGGACGUAUACGGUGUGACGCCUGCCCGGUGCCGGAAGGUUAAUUGAUGGGGUCAGCGCAAGCGAAGCUCUUGAUCGAAGCCCCGGUAAACGGCGGCCGUAACUAUAACGGUCCUAAGGUAGCGAAAUUCCUUGUCGGGUAAGUUCCGACCUGCACGAAUGGCGUAAUGAUGGCCAGGCUGUCUCCACCCGAGACUCAGUGAAAUUGAACUCGCUGUGAAGAUGCAGUGUACCCGCGGCAAGACGGAAAGACCCCGUGAACCUUUACUAUAGCUUGACACUGAACAUUGAGCCUUGAUGUGUAGGAUAGGUGGGAGGCUUUGAAGUGUGGACGCCAGUCUGCAUGGAGCCGGCCUUGAAAUACCACCCUUUAAUGUUUGAUGUUCUAACGUGGACCCGUGAUCCGGGUUGCGGACAGUGUCUGGUGGGUAGUUUGACUGGGGCGGUCUCCUCCUAAAGAGUAACGGAGGAGCACGAAGGUUGGCUAAUCCUGGUCGGACAUCAGGAGGUUAGUGCAAUGGCAUAAGCCAGCUUGACUGCGAGCGUGACGGCGCGAGCAGGUGCGAAAGCAGGUCAUAGUGAUCCGGUGGUUCUGAAUGGAAGGGCCAUCGCUCAACGGAUAAAAGGUACUCCGGGGAUAACAGGCUGAUACCGCCCAAGAGUUCAUAUCGACGGCGGUGUUUGGCACCUCGAUGUCGGCUCAUCACAUCCUGGGGCUGAAGUAGGUCCCAAGGGUAUGGCUGUUCGCCAUUUAAAGUGGUACGCGAGCUGGGUUUAGAACGUCGUGAGACAGUUCGGUCCCUAUCUGCCGUGGGCGCUGGAGAACUGAGGGGGGCUGCUCCUAGUACGAGAGGACCGGAGUGGACGCAUCACUGGUGUUCGGGUUGUCAUGCCAAUGGCACUGCCCGGUAGCUAAAUGCGGAAGAGAUAAGUGCUGAAAGCAUCUAAGCACGAAACUUGCCCCGAGAUGAGUUCUCCCUGACCCUUUAAGGGUCCUGAAGGAACGUUGAAGACGACGACGUUGAUAGGCCGGGUGUGUAAGCGCAGCGAUGCGUUGAGCUAACCGGUACUAAUGAACCGUGAGGCUUAACCUU
rnacentral:rRNA from 1 species